ACAAUUCGUGUGUGUUCUCGAACGUACAGGGGCUUCAAGAAGCCAAGCCCUAGUUCUUCAAAAAGCUUCAAAUUAAGGGAUGAUUCAAGGCUCAAAUUCAUGAAUUCUCAUGGAUUAAUGAUCACCAUCACAAGGGGAUCAUAAGGAACGUGUCAAGGAGAGCUCAAGCAUAGGAGGAUAACGGGUCAAGAUAAGGCAAGGUCACAAAUACACUUAUUGGAGCACUCAAGGUAAGUGAUUUCUAUAAUCACUUCUUAUUUUAUUUAAGUAAAGUAGCGUUAGUUGAUUAAGCAUGAUGGGGUUUGAAGUUUCAUAUGGUUUUGGUCGUAUGAAAUUGGUAAUUUUAGCUUAGUAGACCGAAUGGGACAAUAUAAAGUUGUAAUGCUAUGUAGAAUAAUGUCUAUGUAAUGGCUACGGUAUGUAACCGGGUAAUGGGUAAAAUUGCACAUAAGUGCACCAACCGAGAAUGGGGACUUAGGUUAAUGGGUCAAAGUGAAGGUAUACUUUAGCACGGAACGUUUGUACAAGCAAUGUCGAUAGUAUUUCAUGUGCCCGGUUAGUGUAAGGUGUUAUAACAUUAACAUUAUGUGAGCCUUAAGUGUAAACAUAUGAGUUGUUGAUAAAUGCAUGACGGGUCGAAUAAUUCGUAAUG